rnacentral:tRNA from 1 species
CAAGACGUAGCUUUAACGAAAGCAUUCAGCUUACACCUGAAAGAUAUCUGCUCACACCAGAUCGUCUUGA